CUUAGCGACCACACAACAACAGACAUUAAUAUGGCCACUGGAUAUUUUGAUUAAGCUCAGAUCAUCACAGAAAAAUAAAUGUAAAUCCUCUGGGCUAAUUAUGACUCUUUCUACUGCACAGAGGAUGACUGAUGGUUAAGUGGUAUCUCCUUUCAGAACUCUGUUAGCCAACUCAUUUGUCCAACUGGGCUGAUACAAUAUUUUCUUGAUAUUUGGAGACAGGUAUUCUAAAAAACCUCAGGGAUCUUUGUUCUUCUAUGUUCAAUAACUAGCACCUAGGAUGACUAGUUUCCUUAAACCAAAGUCCAAAGCUUUCUAAUGGUUUAUAGGACCCAUACUUUAUCCUGAGUUAAGAAGUUCUGAAAGUAAAGCAGCUUUCCAGAGCUCUUAUUUAGCAAGAUAAAGAUACCACUUCUAUAUCAGAAAGUCAGUUCAGUCAUGAAAGAAGACAGCAAUUCGUGCUAAGCUCGGGGAGUGGAGUGAGGAAAGAGAGAUCAGACAAGGAGGGGAUGGAGAGGAGAAAGUGAGGCAUGAGGAUGAGUCUGUGUGAGGCACAGUCCUUUAUAAAGUUCACACAUCAAGGAACAGACUUGGGUCCAGUUCUUGGGAGGAGUCAGUAUAGGAGUUCUUAUCUGCCUCAUAGGGUGAAUGGACAUUUUGAUAGUUCCUGUUCAGGGUUGGCAAUUAUCUGUAUCAAAAGAGAAUCCAUAAGUUCACCUGAAACUGUCACAAUAUUGUUAACUGGCUAUACCCCAAUGCAAAAUACAAAGUUUAAGAGAAAAGUGUUACUUGGCUCAGUGAUGUGCGACUCUUUGAUACCCUACAGGCUACAGUCCAUGGGGUCACAAAGAGCUGGAUACGACUUAAUAACUAAGCAACAACAAACACAUUUCUCUAUGUACAUUCUAGGUAAAAUAAAAGAAUAUUUUACAUAUUAUUUGGGAGAUAUAUUCAUAGAAACAUUUUUCAAGGACAGAAAGAAAUUGCCUGGAAAAUAGCUGUUUAUUAAAAGCUUCUUGUUCUUUUAGCUUCAAGAUAAAUGCAUG
ensembl:lncRNA